rnacentral:rRNA from 1 species
AGAGUUUGAUCAUGGCUCAGGAUGAACGCUGGCGGCGUGCCUAACACAUGCAAGUCGUGCGGUCGCUUUAGGCGACAGCGGCAAACGGGUGAGUAAUAAACAGGAAUCUACUCCUGACACAGCCAUAACUCUGCGAAAGUGGGGCUAAUAGCUGAUAGUCUCGCAAGAGUAAAGACUUUUGUCGGUCAGGAAGGAGCCUGUUUCCUAUCAGCUUGUUGGUGAGGUAAUGGCUCACCAAGGCAAUGACGGGUAGGGGGUCUGAGAGGAUGAUCCCCCACAAUGGGACUGAGACACGGCCCAUACUCCUACGGGAGGCAGCAGUUGGGAAUAUUGCGCAAUGGGCGAAAGCCUGACGCAGCGACGCCGCGUGGUCGAAGAAGCCCUUCGGGGUGUAAAGACCUUUUUUAGGGGAAGAUUANGAC